UUUCAGGUCCAAGGAAAAAAACUAUUCCACAGAGAGUAGCAAGGGGGCCACACGCAAAUCUAGGAGGCAGAUGCUAAACCGAACUUUGUCGAUGACCACGAUUUAAGCUAAAGGUAAACACUGGCCACCGUCGCCGCUUACCUCAGUUAACAUUAUUACACCCCGGGGAAGUGAGGUCCUCCCUAGCCUCGCCUCAUGGCAACAGCCGUAGCAGCAGCGAAAACUGCUCGGGCCGCCGCCAACGGCGGCAACUGCUCCUUCAGUCCUCUCCGGGGCGGCUGCUUUACUCGGCUUCGCUGACUUCCCCCCGGCCCGGUCGCUCGCGACGGACGCGCCGCCAUCUUGGAAGAGCGACGUCCGCGUCUCCCUGCAACGUGCACUCCCAUUGGCGGGCUCAGGGGCUGCCAGCGUCUCGUGACCGUCUCCAUAGCGCCGGCGCGCGGAGAAGUGGAGGCGGGCUCUAGGCUGUCGGCUCUGCGCUGGCGGGGAGGACCCCGGGACUGGGCGCCUGGGCCAAGUUGGGACCACUGGGAGUGCCGAGAGACCACAGCACCAGAGCCUCCACUGCACCGACGCACAGACCCGCCAGGCCGGCGCAUCUUCCGCCGCCCACUAGGGUUGGCCGGCCCUGGGAGGGGAGAGAAUGGCAGAGGCCUGCACUUCGACUGAUGGCGUUGCGGACCUCACUGCUUUCGGGGGACAAGGCGGCAGAUUUCCCGUAGAGGAACUUCCCUCUCGCAUCUCCUUGGCCCCGCGGCGACUGAAGAGUACUCUUGGGGUUCGGCUUUCUUCUGCGAUUUAAGUAUUAUUUGAAACAGCUCCCUGCGCGGCCCUUUUCUCCUAAACUUUGACAGAAACUUUGCUUUGUCCCUACCAAUCCUCAGUGAGUUCUUUAGAGGGGUCCGAGACAGUUUGUAGAUAACGAUACGCGUUUAUUGGCUUUACCCUGUCCUAGCAAAGUUAGGACUGUUGCUGACGUGAUUGGCCCGCACCUCCCUAACAGCCUAACAAUGGAGGUUUAAUUAUGCUACUAUAGUAAGACACCUCUAAAAAAAAAAAAAAAAAAAAAAAGUAAAACAGGCUUUACGUUUUACCUGCUAUCUCUACGGUUUUACUGGCUUCUUAAUACAAUAUUCUUGUGUAGCAAGGUGAGCAAAUUUCAGCAAAUGUCAUUGUAAAUAGUCCCAGCCUAAAUGGAAUUGAACUCUGGAACCAAUGUGCAUAGAAGUCCCUGAGCUGACGCCAUUCUAGAUCUACCACUAGAUGGUUUGCGAUGUAUGGAAUUUAAAGGCAGUCACUUCUACCUGAAUUGUGAUGAAAGUAGUGUGCCUGAACACGCUGGGAAAGUGUGCUACCCUGUUUUAUAUUAGAAACCGGUUUCCAAGGAAAUUGAAAAGUAAA